UACGAAGGGGCUAGCGUUGCUCGGAAUCACUGGGCGUAAAGCGCACGUAGGCGGAUUGCUAAGUCAGGGGUGAAAUCCUGGAGCUCAACUCCAGAACUGCCUUUGAUACUGGCGACCUUGAGUCCGGGAGAGGUGAGUGGAACUGCGAGUGUAGAGGUGAAAUUCGUAGAUAUUCGCAAGAACACCAGUGGCGAAGGCGGCUCACUGGCCCGGUACUGACGCUGAGGUGCGAAAGCGUGGGGAGCAAACAGGG
rnacentral:rRNA from 1 species